UUUGUGUAACGUUUAUGCUAUAUCGCAUUGACACAUAUAGGCACAUGUAUAUCCUAUUGUUCCACAUUUGCUUUUGAUAUGUGCCUAUUCUAGUUUCAUUCCUUUGGAUAUUAAAUUCAUCUAACCUUCUUAUUUGAAUUGAGCUACAUAUGAUUGCUUGGAAUCCUUGUAUACUCUUGCUUUCAUUUCAUUCCAAAUCUGAAUACAUUUGUGAG
rnacentral:lncRNA from 1 species